GACGAACGCUGGCGGCGUGCUUAACACAUGCAAGUCGAACGAUGAACCCGGAGCUUGCUCCGGUGGAUUAGUGGCGAACGGGUGAGUAACACGUGAGUAACCUGCCCUUGACUCUGGGAUAACUGCGGGAAACUGUAGCUAAUACCGGAUACGACCCUCGGCGGCAUCGCCAGGGGGUGGAAAGAAUGUCGGUCAAGGAUGGACUCGCGGCCUAUCAGCUAGUUGGUGAGGUAACGGCUGACCAAGGCGACGACGGGUAGCCGGCCUGGGAGGGUGACCCGCCACACGGGGACUGAGACACGGCCCUGACUCCUACGUGAGGCAGAAGUGGGGAAUAUUGAACAAUGGGCGCAAGCCUGAUGCAGCAACGCCGCGUGAGGGAUGACGGCCUUCGGGUUGUAAACCUCUUUUAGUAGGGAAGAAGCGAAAGUGACGGUACCUGCAGAAAAAGCACCGGCUAACUACGUGCCAGCCGCCGCCGUAA
rnacentral:rRNA from 1 species